AUACGGAGGGUGCAAGCGUUAAUCGGAAUUACUGGGCGUAAAGCGUGCGUAGGCGGCUUGUUAAGUCAGAUGUGAAAGCCCCGGGCUUAACCUGGGAACUGCAUUUGAAACUGGCAAGCUAGAGUUGAGUAGAGGGGAGUGGAAUUUCAGGUGUAGCGGUGAAAUGCGUAGAUAUCUGAAGGAACACCAGUGGCGAAGGCGACUCCCUGGACUCAAACUGACGCUGAGGCACGAAAGCGUGGGUAGCAAACAGGAUUAGAUACCCUGGUAGUCCACGCCGUAAACGAUGUCGACUAGCCGUUGGGCCCUUUUAGGGUUUAGUGGCGCAGCUAACGCAUUAAGUCGACCGCCUGGGGAGUACGGCCGCAAGGUUAAA
rnacentral:rRNA from 1 species